ACUCCUUCAAGCAAACAAUUCAGCAGCAACCUACCUCCAUUCAUUCUUUACUCACCUGUAUUUGUUAAAGUAGCAACCUUAUUUCAGUUCAUCUCAUACAAAUCAACAACAACAGCCAUCAACAACAAACAAUUACAGGUUGAGCUGUGAUGGGCGAUGAAGUGUUGUUGCUGAGUGGAGUUUUUGUCGAACUUAAAGUAGGCUCAGAAAGGAUACAUGUCUUCAUACAUGUAUCUCAGUUAUGCAUUCCGCUGUAAACACUGAUUAUUUCAGUUACGCCUUCCGUUGCAAACUCUGAUAAUGUUUUAGCCAAGCCCCUAACGAUGCCUUUUUCCUUUUUAAGGAAUAUAACGCGUAUACAAGUUCUUUGAGUACCCUUUUUAUGCGAACUAUGCCUUUUUCCUUUUUAAGGAAUAUUUCACGCAUA